ACUCCUACGGGAGGCAGCAGUAAGGAAUAUUGGACAAUGGACGCAAGUCUGAUCCAGCCAUGCCGCGUGAAGGAUUAAGGUCCUCUGGAUUGUAAACUUCUUUUAUAAGGGACGAAAAAAGGUCUUUCUAGAUCGUCUGACGGUACCUUAUGAAUAAGCACCGGCUAACUCCGUGCCAGCAGCCGCGGUAAUACGGAGGGUGCAAGCGUUAUCCGGAUUCACUGGGUUUAAAGGGUGCGUAGGCGGGCAGGUAAGUCAGUGGUGAAAUCCUAGAGCUCAACUCUAGAACUGCCAUUGAUACUAUCUGUCUUGAAUAUUGUGGAGGUAAGCGGAAUAUGUCAUGUAGCGGUGAAAUGCUUAGAUAUGACAUAGAACACCUAUUGCGAAGGCAGCUUACUACGCAUAUAUUGACGCUGAGGCACGAAAGCGUGGGGAUCAAACAGGAUUAGAUACCCUGGUAGUCCACGCCCUAAACGAUGGAUACUCGACAUACGCGAUACACUGUGUGUGUCUGAGCGAAAGCAUUAAGUAUCCCACCUGGGAAGUACGUCCGCAAGGAUGAAACUCAAAGGAAUUG
rnacentral:rRNA from 1 species